CUAUACAUGCAGUCGAGCGGACUUAAAAAGCUUGCUUUUUAAGUUAGCGGCGGACGGGUGAGUAACACGUGGGCAACCUGCCUGUAAGACUGGGAUAACUUCGGGAAACCGGAGCUAAUACCGGAUAAUCCUUUUCUACUCAUGUAGAAAAGCUGAAAGACGGUUUACGCUGUCACUUACAGAUGGGCCCGCGGCGCAUUAGCUAGUUGGUGAGGUAACGGCUCACCAAGGCGACGAUGCGUAGCCGACCUGAGAGGGUGAUCGGCCACACUGGGACUGAGACACGGCCCAGACUCCUACGGGAGGCAGCAGUAGGGAAUCUUCCGCAAUGGACGAAAGUCUGACGGAGCAACGCCGCGUGAGUGAUGAAGGUUUUCGGAUCGUAAAACUCUGUUGUUAGGGAAGAACAAGUACGAGAGUAACUGCUCGUACCUUGACGGUACCUAACCAGAAAGCCACGGCUAACUACGUGCCAGCAGCCGCGGUAAUACGUAGGUGGCAAGCGUUGUCCGGAAUUAUUGGGCGUAAAGCGCGCGCAGGCGGUCCUUUAAGUCUGAUGUGAAAGCCCACGGCUCAACCGUGGAGGGUCAUUGGAAACUGGGGGACUUGAGUGCAGAAGAGAAGAGUGGAAUUCCACGUGUAGCGGUGAAAUGCGUAGAGAUGUGGAGGAACACCAGUGGCGAAGGCGACUCUUUGGUCUGUAACUGACGCUGAGGCGCGAAAGCGUGGGGA
rnacentral:rRNA from 2 species